ensembl:lncRNA
CUCCUAUCAUGUUCCUUUGAGAUCUACCCCAUGAAGCGACGUCCUUACUCAGGGUGAAUGGGACAAUGGGGGUUCAGGUCCAUUUAGCAUAUCCUCAUCCCUCAGCAUAAACAGAGUUGGAGCAAGGGGGAACAAAUUGGUCCUAUUGGUUAAAAACUUGUGCUUCUUAAAUAACUAACUUAAUUGUAAUCUCAUUAAUUGCCAGGUAUCCAAAUCAUCUUCUAAUCACGGUCCAUGGACUUUCAAUUCAUCAUUUCCCUGCAGAUGAAGCCACCCAACACACAGAUCAGUAACAGGAAUCAAUGCUCUGUCACUACAUACAAAAAUCAGCUGGAUCCAGUUUUAGCAGAGCAUUUUAAAUAAGUUUAAUAUUCGUUUCCAGUGAAGCUAACCUUCUGCUUCACCCUUCUCCACUUUUUCUUCGAAAGUGAUUUUUCCUGAGCUAAAGGAGAGAAAGGAGUCUUUAUCCUCUACAUCUCUUGGAUUUAAGGCGACCCCUCCUUGAGGUGCCAAGUGUGAAGUCCAGAUGAUCCAGUCUCCCUCCUCACUGUCUGUAUCCCUAGGUAUCAGAGUCACCGUCACUUGCCGGGCAUGUUAGGGCAUCAGCAAGUGGUUAUCCUGGUCUCAGUAGAAACCAAGGAAAGUUCCUAAGCUCCUGAUCGAUGUUGCAUCCAGUUUGCACACCGGGGUCCCUUCGCAGAUUGCGGUUCAGCGGCAGUGGAUCUGGCACAGAUUUCAGUCUCACCAUCAGCAGCCUGGAGCCUGAAUAUGUUGCAACUUACAACUGUCAACAGUAUAACAGUAACCAUCCCACAGUGUUACAAGCCAGAACAUAAAUCACCUAGGGAAGCAGACCCAUGAGGCUGGGCUGUCCCAGCUCGUAGUCUUAUGCUGCCUCCAUCUGCUAAGAUGCUAAAAGCUUGUUUCAGACACAGCCAUGUUUACAAAGUCACUGGAAGAUUGUGGUAGAAGAGGCAGGGAGAGUCCUGUUCACUCUCAUCUGUUUCUCCCUCCUCCACCCCAACAAGACACAUGAUGUUACCUCUUCUAAUUUAAUAAAGGACCGAGAUAAUAACA